GUCAUAUGCUUGUCUCAAAGAUUAAGCCAUGCAUGUCUCAGUACAAGCCAAAUUAAGGUGAAACCGCGAAAGGCUCAUUAAAUCAGUUAUGGUUCCUUAGAUCGUACCCACAAUUACUUGGAUAACUGUGGUAAUUCUAGAGCUAAUACAUGCAAACAGAGCUCCGACCGGAGACGGAAGGAGUGCUUUUAUUAGAUCAAAACCAAUCGGUGGCGGGUUCGCGCUCGUCAUCGUACAACUUGGUGACUCUGAAUAACUUUACGCUGAUCGCACGGUCAUCGCACCGGCGACGCGUCUUUCAAAUGUCUGCCUUAUCAACUGUCGAUGGUAGGUUCUGCGCCUACCAUGGUUGUAACGGGUAACGGGGAAUCAGGGUUCGAUUCCGGAGAGGGAGCCUGAGAAACGGCUACCACAUCCAAGGAAGGCAGCAGGCGCGCAAAUUACCCACUCCCGGCACGGGGAGGUAGUGACGAAAAAUAACGAUACGGGACUCAUCCGAGGCCCCGUAAUCGGAAUGAGUACACUCUAAACCCUUUAACGAGGAUCAAUUGGAGGGCAAGUCUGGUGCC
rnacentral:rRNA from 1 species